AGCAAUAAAUAAUGCGUGUCAAGGAACAAUGUAGUAAAAAAGUCGUUACCGUUGAAGUUUAACGACUUUAUCUGCUUUCGAAAACUCCUUAGAACGCAGCUGACUAAGAGGAAGAAGAAUCUCUUGAAAUGGGACAAUUAA
ensembl:ncRNA C50B6.15 ncRNA